UCCCAUGCUAAAACUAGCCAAACUACUCCACUACAAAGGCUUCCAUAUUACCUUCGUUAACACCGAGUACAACCACAAUCGCCUCCUCAAGUCUCGAGGCCCUGACUCUCUCGAUGGCCUCCCUUCCUUCCAAUUUCGCACCAUCCCCGAUGGCCUCCCUCCAACCGACACUGAUGCCACCCAGGACAUACCAUCCUUGUGCCAGUCUACCAGGAAAACCUG
rnacentral:misc_RNA from 1 species